AUUGUUAAUAGAUGUAGCAGAUGUCAUCAAUUAGGUCAUAAUUUGAAAACAUGAAAAAUGCCACCUCCUCGACCUCAAAUAGAAAAAUGUGAAUGGUUCUCAACCACAAACUUUUCAAUGUACUGAUCCAAAUCAAGUUGGUGUCAGCCCAAGUGUCAAUCCUGCUGAUCCAAAUCAAGGUGCUUCUAAUGCAAAUGUCAAUCAUGUUGAACCAAAUCAAGGUAACUCUAGUUCAAGUGUGGAUCCUGCUCAAGCAAAAAAGGUUGCUGCCAGUUCAAUUGUUAUUCUUAAUCAAGCAAAAGAUGUUGCUGCCAAUUCAAGUGUGAUUCCUCCACCAAAGUUGCUAAGCCAACUGCAAGGUCAACUAGGGGAAAUAAUAAAUCAACACUGAAGACUAAAGGAAAUAUACCAAAGGACUUCUGCACCAAAUCAAGGUGAUGGUGAACAGCAGUUGCAUCCAAAUAUGAAUAAAGCCCAAGAACUGUCUGAAGGCUAAAAAACUGAAGUUUUGUAUGAGUCAAUAUAAUUGGUAUGGAUUGACCUUUGCAAAUUACCAAUUGAUUGUUAUGUUUUGUGUACCUUACAGCCUAUGAACUCGGCAUGUGAUCAUAAGACCAAGGUCCCCAUCGUGGUCGGAUGACACAUAAGACUCUAUCACUCGUAAUGAACUCAAAGCUUGGUGACCACUAGCUCCCUAUGAUCACACAUGAUGCUUAGAGGAUUAGUUAGUUAGUCUAACCUCCUCAAGGUUGGACAUGUAUAUAUAGACCCAAAGAAAACACAAUAAGUCACUUCCUCCAACAUUGGAGUAGGAGAUCGGAGAUUCCAUUAAGAUGAGGAACAAAAGGAGAGAGGUAGACAGCUCAUCAGAAGUCAGCCACAACUCACCAGAACUCAGUCGGAACAUUUAACUCAGCCACAACUCACCGGAACUCAGCCAAAACAUUUAACUCAUCCACAGAGCGCCGAAACUCCACCACAGCUCACCGAAACUCAGCUGGAACAUUUUGUUUGCACAAAGUUGUUUCUUCGUCAAGGAUAAUUAAUAGGUAAAAGCAGAGAGGAGACUGUCCAAGAUGUUGGUGGCUGUCAGAUUUUUUGGAAGACUUUUGACUUAUUAUGAUAUUGGUGUUGGGGAUAUUAUGAACUUUUACAAUGUCUUCAGUUUUGAAUUUAGAUCUAAUUAUUUUGGUGGUCUUUUAAGUCUAAUUUGGUUGUGAGUAAGUCAUGUGGUCCUUAGAGGUUCUAUUUUUUUGGAUGUAAGUGGCCACAUGGAUUCUUGAAAGAUUUGCAUGCAGACAACGUGACUUAAUUGGAUGUGAAUCUUUCAAUUUUGAUGUACCUUGUCUAAAGAUUACCCUUAUUGUUUUGGUAAAACUUGGCAGUGUUGUUAAUUCAAAUAUCAGUUAUCAUAUUUAAAGCUUCACACAAUUAUAUGGUACACUAGAUUAAUGGGUGUUUCUAAAAUGCUAACUUGAAAACACCCAUUUGUAUUUACAACAUUGCCGAUUCAGUUGCAAGGACAGGGUUGUUUUUU